UGAAAGUAAAGCGGCUUGGCGUUCCCGGAUUCCACCUUCGGCAACUGGUCGCUGAUGAUCUCCACCAGCAUCGCGGGGAACUCCACCUUCAGGGCCUGGGACUCUCGGAAGCUGUGCAGUGUGAGGGCAUCUACUGCAUCUCCAUGCAGCCGUCCACUGUCAUCCAUGCUCCACUGCAGUAAAAGCAUCAAGGACAACUCUGAGUCCCCUCGCCCAUCCAGCCUUUCCCUCCUCUGUCACCCAAGGACCUUCUCAGCCUCCUGGAUCUGAACCACUGUUGUGAGGUAUCACCCUGGAGCAAUGAGUGGCGCAUGCAGAGGAACACAGCAGGUGGGCCCCUGCCCAGAGGAGCCAGAAAACCAAACAGGUUUCCCAGGCUCUUCCUUUCACGGAACCCCACUCCCUGCAGUCACCUCCCACCCCCGGAGACCUGGAACCUUGGCCUGAGGACCCUUGCUCUCCUCUGAACUCACAGAUGCCAUGUUUUGUCUUUGUGAUUUCCUUGACAUUAGAGCCAGGUGACACCCCUCCUCUUCUAUCCUGUGGUUUCCACCUCCUACUGGUGUAACUUUGCACAUUUGCAGCUCCUCAAGUGGCCUGCAAGCUCCUUGAAGACAGGAAGUACUGAUGCAGCCACAUAGCACCCGGGAGAGGCCCUCCUGCUAGCUCUGACUCCUGCCUUUCUCUGACUAUCCUUCUUGCAGAAGCACACUACACCAAGCAACGUAAAAAUCUAAACCAAUUCAUGUUCCUAAGUUACCAACUCUAAUAUCAGGUUUAAUCAAGAUUGAGCAGUUAAAUCCUUAUGUCAGUCUCAAACAGAAGAGGAACACGCAGCAACCAGGGGAAGCCACAGUGGCCAAGGGCAGCCUCUGCAGAUCCAAGGCCCUGACACCAAGGUGAUCUAGUUCACUCCUGUGAUUCAGUGAUGCCAUUGAAUGAAUCCGUUGGCAAUCUAUGGCCUGCAGGCCAAAUCUGGCCCAAGGAACGUUUUUGUGCACUUUUAAUUGGUUGAGGAAAAAAAAUCAAAAGCAUAUUUUGUGACGUGGAAAUUGUAUGAAAUAGUUUUACUGGGACGCAGCCAUGCUCAUUCAUUUAGCUAUUAUCGGCGGCUGCUUUCAGACUACAAGGGCAGAGCCACGUUGUUGUGACAAGGAUCACAGGACCCACAAAACCUACAGUACUUUCAACGUGGCCUUUUAGGGAAAAACAUCUGCUGGCUCCUGGAUUGGAAGGCAUGCCAUGGAUUUAAUGAGGUUUUGGUUGUUUAUUAAAAUAUAUAAAUCAAGUGUACGAUGUCUCCUGAUUUAAGUCUGUGAAUCAGGACAUACGGCACCAGCUAGAUUUGGCUUUCCAAAUAUUAUCCAUUUUUCUGAGCCUUUAGGAAAUGCUUUCGGGAGAACCCUUGUAUAGGGGCUGAGCUAGAUAAGAGGUUAUCUAGCUUACAGGCUCUAGAAUCUGUCAUUCAAAGGGAGAGUUUCCAUCACUUACGCCUCCCAUUUCUGACUGUGCCCUCAGGAGCCAUUUCCCUUUGAUCCUAUAGCCCCUGCAGAUCAUACCCAUUUACAGCUGACUCUCAUUGUCCAUAAAGUCAUUGGGAACAGUGAAUUCCAAACACUGAACCUUCACUCCUAGGGAAAAUAUGGAGCUAGGUUUCCAUGAGCUACUGAUCAAGACAUUUUCAUAAAACGAUUUCUACUUAACCUUGUUUUAUGUGUAUUUCUGUUUAAAGACUCCUUAUUUAAUGUACACUGCUGACUCCUUAACAUUGAACUCACAUUCAACAGCACUAUACCGCAUGCCUGAACAAAGCUUACUGAACACUCAUUUUCUCCAUGAAGCACAUCACAGCCUCCUGCCCUUAAGAACACAAGACAGUGUAUGAGCACUACAUUUGGGGACAAUUUUCAACAGCAACAUCACUAACAAAAAUGCAAGAAAUGUGUUACCAAGUAGAUCAUGAAAAGCACACUUAUUUCAGUAUGAGCUGAAACAAGAAGGGAGAAUGUCACCUUGCUUGACCUUCAUGGGGAACAUGACUCAAUUUAUUACUCUGCUCAUGCCUGUGAAAGUGCUGAGAGUAUUGAUUUGGGGGGUGCGGGUUACAAGUAUUUUAAAUGUUUUUGUUAGUCCUCACCUGAGGAUUUUUUCCCAUUGUUUUUUGGGAGAGAGUGGAAGGGAGGGGGAGAGAGAGAGACACAUCGAUUGGACUGGUAGCCUCCCGCAUGUACAGGUGCCUGGGAUCGAGCCUGCAAGUACAUGCCCUUGACUGGGAAUUGAACCCGUGACCCUCCUGUGUGUGUUGGCUCAUGCUCUAACUCUUGAGCAACACCGGCCAGGGCUGGAGGUACAAUUUUAACUAGUAGGCAAACUCAAAAAUACAGAAUCUGCAAAUAAUGAUCGACUGUGUGUGAAGCUAUAUACACUUUCUACUCUCUUUAGCCAUGACCUUGAUCAACUGGCAUCUUCAAUGUCAGUCAUUUCAUAGGAUCUGCCCUAGUCCAAAAUGGCACUGAUAAUAACGUUCCUCUUUUCUGUUGCUUAACAAUGUCUGUGUCCCUUA